CAAAGGGACUCGCAAGCUUUUGGGGUCUGAGGACCUCGCGAGCUCUCGGGGUUUGAGGGCUUCGUGGGGUUUGAGGGUUUCUCGGGGUCCGAAGGUCGCGGGGUCGGAGGGUCGCCGGAUCUGUGGGUCUCAUAGCCCCAGCAUGCCUUGUCCUCCACUUUGACCGUAAAAAUUACCUCGCAUUGCCCUUACAAUAUCUUGAGUAUUGCCCUUACGUCGAUCUUACGUCGCCCUUACAUCGCCCUUACGUUGCCCUUACGCCGCCCUUUCGUCGCCCUUACGUCGCCCUUACGCCGCCCUUACGUCGCCCUUUACGUCACCGUCAACAUGGCGGCGGCUCUGUCUAGGCCGACAACUGUUGACAUUUUAAACAUUAUUUUCUGCACAUCAAAUUGUCGAAAUUUGGUGAGCAAAUAAAAAUAUUUUAAAAAUUUUGUUUUAGUUUAAUGUUGGUUCUUAUGGAACCGCAUGACUGGUUUGUACCUGCGAUGGACCUCUCAUUUGCUGUCUUAUCAUCCUUGUUUUAUCAUCGUUAUUCUCGUGGCCUCUUAUUGUGGACUGUCCUCAUUGUGGCCUCUUGGUCUCUUAUUGUGGACUGUCCACAUUGCGGGCUGUCCCCAUUGUGGCCUCUUGGCAUCCCAUUGUGGCCUCUUGGUCUCUUAUUGUGGACUGUCCCAAUUAUGGCCUCUUGGCCCGUUUUAACAUUUAUGCUUCAAAGUCGCUUGAUUUUAACCUUUAACCGCUGGACACUGCGCCUCAUGACAGGACGUUAGCCUCGAUUAACGGGCCUCAUUUACGUCACUAACGGUCGCUGCUGGCCCGUGUACGUCACUAACGGUCGCUGCUGGCCCGUGUACGUCAUUAACGGUCGCUGCUGGCCCGUUAUCGUAUUAAAAUGUACAUACCCGUCAUUGUUUAUCGCUUUAGUCAUGUUCAGUUUUACGGUGCAGGCGAGGAAGGUAUUAACUAUUCAAUGGUGAUUAAUUAGGUAUUAACUAUUCAACGGUGAUUAAUUAACUGUAAAUAAUGUUUAUUUCGUUGAGAUAUUUGACUACUAAACCUGCCGGUCACGUUACACUCACUGAAAUGAAUGUGACUUUGUCUAAAUAGUGAUGCACUUUUUGCCCUUGUUUGGGUCAUCCUGACCCAGUUUGGCUAGGUGAGAGGGUAUACUAGUGCUAAGUGUAGUAAAUGCAUCAAAAUUUGGACAAUUGUAUACAUUUAUUUCUCUGAGUGUACGUCGUAAGUCGUGGGCCUGAUUAUCGACGAGAUGCGAUGUCGUAAGUGAGUUACGACUGAGGAUCGCGCACGUUAUAAAGCUUUAAAUUACGACUAGCUUAGGAGUUGUGGUGGUCGUAAGAAUGUCUGAAGAUGCGGUGGAGGACCAAGCCUAGGGAAUAUCUUGACUUAUGUAAGGCAAACUUACCAUUGAUAUAUAAUAAAAAACACAA
rnacentral:lncRNA from 1 species